rnacentral:RNase_P_RNA from 1 species
GGAGGAGGUCGAGCAACCGCCCGCCACGGCGUGGCGGGAGGAAAGUCCGGACUCCGCAGGGCAGGGUGGCCGCUAACGACGGCCCCGAGCGAUCGGGGGAAAGUGCCACAGAAAGGAGUCCGCCCCGGACCACUGGUCCGGAGCAAGGGUGAAACGGCGAGGUAAGAGCUCGCCAGGCCCGCCCGUGAGGGCGGGCGCUCGGUAAACCCCACCCGGAGCAAGACCGCGUAGGAGGGAGGCCUGGCCUUUUGGCCUGGCGCGGAUGGCCCGUCCGUUCCCUCGGGUCGGUCGCUCGAUCCCCCGGGUAACCGGGGGGCCAGACGAAUGGUUGCUGCUCCCGCGAUCUGGGCGGGAGAACAGAAUCCGGCUUACAGACCUCCUCCGGCG